CUUGAUCUUCUAAUCAGUAUUAUCAAUCUACUUGCUUAGCAACCAAAUGGCAUCUGAUACAUCCCAAACGUUCUCAAAUUGCAGCCAGCAAUAAUGAGAAAAAUUACAAUGAAUGACCUAAUCAUCUAAACCUGCUGCCCUAGAAGGUUUUGGUCCACUGAUGCAGCAAUGGUAAAGGGAUGAGGAGACCGUUGUCAUGGGAAAUGGGAACAGUGGUCGAAAAAAUUGAAAAGUGGAUAAAACUUUGCCUGAGAAACAAGAGCAGGUUCUCUUCCUUACCCUCUUUGUGUUACAAGAAAGGACCAAGAAAAAGAGCAAAAUUUCUCAGGUUUUGGAGGUGGUUGGAAGACCAAGAGAUGUUUUUCCCAUACGCUUCAUAGAUUCCUGUCCCAUAUCCAUAUGAUGCAGUUGUAAUUGAGGCAGAGACUAUCCAUCACUAUACACGUUUGCACAUUAUUAUUUCCUCUCUGCUUUGUCCUUUUCAAUAUUUUCUUUUCUUGGCCCUGCAUUUAUUUUGACUACGUCAAAGACUUCCACUCCCUGGUACUCAAGAACAAUAAAAUAUAUGAAGAGAUUUGAUUUUGA